rnacentral:rRNA from 1 species
CCUACGGGAGGCAGCAGUGAGGAAUAUUGGUCAAUGGGCGCGAGCCUGAACCAGCCAAGUCGCGUGAGGGAUGAAGGUUCUAUGGAUCGUAAACCUCUUUUAUGAGGGAAUAAAGUGUGGGACGUGUCCUAUUUUGUAUGUACCUUAUGAAUAAGGAUCGGCUAACUCCGUGCCAGCAGCCGCGGUAAUACGGAGGAUCCGAGCGUUAUCCGGAUUUAUUGGGUGUAAAGGGUGGGUAGGCUGCCUUUUAAGUCAGCGGUGAAAUUCUGUGGCUCAACCAUAGAAUUGCCGUUGAAACUGGGGGGCUUGAGUAUGUGUGAGGCAGGCGGAAUGCGUGGUGUAGCGGUGAAAUGCUUAGAUAUCACGCAGAACCCCGAUUGCGAAGGCAGCCUGCCAAGCCAUGACUGACGCUGAUGCACGAAAGCGUGGGGAUCAAACAGGAUUAGAUACCCCUGUAGUC